rnacentral:rRNA from 1 species
AACGAACGCUGGCGGCAGGCUUAACACAUGCAAGUCGAACGCCCCGCAAGGGGAGUGGCAGGCGGGUGAGUAACGCGUGGGAAUCUACCCAGUUCUACGGAACAACUGAGGGAAACUUCAGCUAAUACCGUAUACGCCCUACGGGGGAAAGAUUUAUCGGAAUUGGAUGAGCCCGCGUAAGAUUAGCUAGUUGGUGAGGUAAUGGCUCACCAAGGCGACGAUCUUUAGCUGGUCUGAGAGGAUGAUCAGCCACACUGGGACUGAGACACGGCCCAGACUCCUACGGGAGGCAGCAGUGGGGAAUAUUGGACAAUGGGCGCAAGCCUGAUCCAGCCAUGCCGCGUGAGUGAUGAAGGCCUUAGGGUUGUAAAGCUCUUUCAGUGGGGACGAUAAUGACGGUACCCACAGAAGAAGCCCCGGCUAACUUCGUGCCAGCAGCAGCCGCAGUAA